UCGUCAAAUUGGUUGUGGCGUG
rnacentral:miRNA from 1 species